rnacentral:snRNA from 8 species
CCUUUCGCCUUUUACUAAAGACUUCCGUGGAGAGGAACACUUACGAGUUCAACGUAUUUUUGGAAGGGCUUUGCUUCUGGCAGAGCC